UUCCCCAGUGUAGACAGCUGGGGGAAUAAGGAGAGGGCAAGUCUGGUGUCAGCCGCCGCGGUAAUACCAGCUCUCCGAGUGGUGGGGACGCUUAUUGGGCCUAAAGCAUCCGUAGCCGGCUGUUCAAGUCCCCUGUUAAAUCCAGCGAUUCAAUCGUUGGACUGCGGGGGAUACUGUCCAGCUAGGGGGCGGGAGAGGCCGACGGUAUUCCCGGGGUAGGGGUGAAAUCUUAUAAUCCCGGGAGGACCACCAGUGGCGAAGGCUGUCGGCUAGAACGCGCCCGACGGUGAGGGAUGAAAGCUGGGGGAGCGAACCGGAUUAGAUACCCGGGUAGUCCCAGCCGUAAACGAUGCAGGCUAGGUGUUAACGCGGCUACGGGCCGCGUUGGUGCCGCAGGGAAGCCGUUAAGCCUGCCGCCUGGGGAGUACGGCCGCAAGGCUGAAACUUACAGGAAUUGGCGGGGGAGCACCACAAGGGGUGAAGCUUGCGGUUUAAUUGGAGUCAACGCCGGAAACCUUACCGGGGGCGACAGCAGAAUGAAGGCCAGAUUGAAGGUCUUGCCAGACAAGCUGAGAGGAGGUGCAUGGCCGUCGCCAGUUCGUGCCGUGAGGUGUCCUGUUAAGUCAGGCAACGAUCGAGACCCGCAUCCCCUGUUGCAACCAGCCUUGAGCUGGGCACACUGGGGAGACUGCCGCCGAUAAGGCGGAGGAAGGAGCGGGCCACGGCAGGUCAGUAUGCCCCGAAUCCCCCGGGCCACACGCGAGCUGCAAUGGCAGGUACAAUGGGUUCCAACCCCGAAAGGGGAAGGCAAUCCCUAAAGCCUGCCGUAGUUGGGAUCGAGGG
rnacentral:rRNA from 1 species